AAUAGAUGCCGCCGUUGACUUUUAGACACAUGUUUAACCAUUCGUCUUAUUCAAAAAAUUUAUGUAAUCAUUAUUUAUUUUCAUGUGAGUUGUUUUACCACUAAAAGUAUUUUAAGCACUAUUUAUAUCUCAUGCAUUAGCAUAAAUUUUUUGAAUAAGACGAAUGGUCAAACGUGUACUCAAAAGUCAACGGCGUCAUCUAUU
rfam:Oryza punctata chromosome 9, whole genome shotgun sequence.